AAGACCAGAUGCUGUUUGGCCGAUUUCAAGAAACGCCUGCCCCCUCCCCGCCCUCUCCGCUGGGUCUAGUUUUCGCGUUGUGUGUCCCGAUGUUUUGAAGUAAACGAACUGUCGCAUGUCACUGUUGAGACUUUCCCCAUCACUUAAAAAAAAAAAAAAGCCAAACCGUAAAUAAGCCUAGUAGAGACGUCAUCGCCCGAGUCGGCCUCCUGUUUCGGCUCUGUGCUGUUUUUGUUUUGUAACCUCGAUGGAGAAGCCGGCAGGAAAAGCUCCGUGGAAAUAAGGUUAAACCCGAGGAGGACUAAGGCAGCCAAACGAUGACUAACUAGACUUUGGAGCCUCUGUUUUAGGAUUACACUGAAAAUUAAAGCCAGCCUCCCACCCACUCUCCCUCCCAAAAAAAGACACCCCCGCUUCGAGAGUGAAUUAAGGCCAGAGUUUACAAAGCUUGGGUGGUUUUACCAAUUACAGGACUUUAAAUGAAAAAACAAGGAAAAAAGCGUCAUUCUAAGAAGGCAGCAACCUUACGAUUUUUUUUCUUCUGUGGUUUGCCGACUGCUCGGCACCUAAGAGAACACACAUCUAAAACGGCAAAGGGGGGGAAACAUGGUCCUAGGGGAAACCACCAGGCUGGAAGCUACCCUGCAACUUGCUGGAGCGCAGUUCCUUCCCAGGGCCUGGCUGGAGAUGAAUCAGCUGCUGCACCCGAGUGCAGGACAGAUGUGGGGCGGGGAGAGGGUGGGGGGCCGCCCGUUAGAGGGCCGCGGCGUUCUCGCGUUUGAAGGGUUGUUUGUUGCUGGGAUUGGUGGCUCGUAUCCGUUGGGGAACUGGGAGGAGGGAGGAGAGACGCAGGGAGGAGGAGCCGGGGGCCGGCCGACGCUGCGACUCCGCGGUCUGAGUGGCAGGAGCCUCGUCUGGAACCGGGCGGUUACUGGGGAGACGCUUUGUUUGCUAACUUCGAAAGCUGCUUCGGCUGCUUCGGCUGCCUCGGCCGCUUUCGAAGCCACUCAACAAAACACGCCUUCGGGUCGGCUUAACCCUCCCCCUGCCCGUUUACCGAAGCCCGAGACAAAAAUGUUUCCUUCUGCGUGGUUAUCCUUCGCCACGCGGUGGCUCUCAAUAGGUACACAAAGGCACACAUAGUUCCAUUUGGUCUCAUCUUCUGAAGCUGCCUCAAGGCCAAGAGAAGACACAAAGUUGUGUAAGUUACUUUUCACAGCCUGCAAACCCUACCAAAGGCAAAAAUUCAACAAGAAACAUAGAAAGGCAAACGAGCCAGGACAGUGUGUCCAUACGUGCAGUUUAUAUAUAUAUAUGGCAAGUCUGUCAGGUGAUAGGAGAACGUAUUUGUUUCAUUCACCUACUGGACAACCCUUGAUUGAGCAUGAUUUCCUUACACCAAGAAUGAUGACUCACGCAGUGGCUGGACCCCUUUUGCUUCUAGUCUCUGGGGUACAGGCACUAUUCUAAAAUACACAGACUGCAGGGCUCCAAACACUGCUCGGGCAUUCCAUAAUCGUCUUGUUACAUCUCAGGUCAGAGGGUCUUGGGCUGCGUGAGGAGAGCCUGGCCAUCGUUUUUCCAAGGGCCUGGUCUGAAACAGCCAUCUUCUGGCGAGUUUAUCCAGCCCGUCAGGAUUACCCUCCUCCUCUUAGUUGCAUGAAUAAUGUAACUGGUGCUACUACUUUUGUUUGUGUUCACUUUCCUCCUGGCCUGCACUUCCUUUCCCAGGCUCUGCCUGUCUCUAGUCCAGUCCUCUUCACUCUCUACCUAGAGGGGGUUUGGAAUCAAGGGAACAGAGCAAGAAAAUGAUUAGUUGAGCACAGCCUUUCCCCUUUUAUUCUCCAUAGUGUGUAUCUAUGUUGUGUUUUCCAGUUUAUGAAACACUAUUUAAAUUACCUCAUUUAGGGGCGCCUGGGUGGCACGGCGGUUGGGCAUCUGCCUUCGGCUCAGGGUGUGAUCCCAGCGUUAUGGGAUCGAGCCCCACAUCGGGCUCCUCCACUAUGAGCCUGCUUCUUCCUCUCCCUCCC
rnacentral:lncRNA from 1 species